GGCGAACGGGUGAGUAAUGCGCAAGUAUCUACCCUUUGGUGGAGGAUACCCUCGAGAAAUUGGGGUUAAUCCUGCAUAUUCUUUUCGAAGGAAAGGCGGCCUCUUGCUGCCGCCAAAGGAUGAGCUUGUGUCCUAUUAGUUUGUUGGUGAGGUAAAGGCUCACCAAGACUGUGAUGGGUAGCCGGCCUGAGAGGGUGUGCGGCCACACUGGGACUGAGAUACGGCCCAGACUCC
rnacentral:rRNA from 1 species